AGGUGCCUCCCGGGGCCUGAGCCUCUCGGCGGGCUGGGCGCGGCGGGGGUGCCUAGCCGGGCCUCAGUUUCCCCUCCCACCGCGCCCUGCUGGAUCGUGGCGGGUGCUUCCCAGGUUAGAGCAACUGUUCCCAACCUCGAUCGACCAGUAGGGGAAAAUAGGGAACUUGGAUCAAAGUGCCAGGGAGGUAAAUGCCUUCGCACAGCCUAGUGGCAGCGGAUCCGUGGGGGGUGGGAACACACUUUAACUGCCCGUGGAGUCAAAUCAUGGGGGUUUACAACCUUGGCCCGUCAGAGCCUCUCAGACCUUCUGUGGGAAUGUUAUUUCCCAAGCGUGGGCUUCCUACAGCAAGGAAGGCAGCACAAAUCCAGCAAGGUGAAAGAGUGGACAAAAGUGUCGCUGUCAAGCAAGUGCCACUCAACAAAGCUUUAUUAAUUCACUACGUGGAUGGCCAUGAGCUAGCCACAAUGAAAGUAGAACGAUGAAUCUAAAAGUCUUGAACUAAAAAAAUUCACUUUCUUUUAGAGUAAAUAUACAAAAUAAUCAUGACUGAAAAUAGUAAUCAUCAUCAUCAUAAAAGCUCAUCUUUUUUAGUGCUUAUUCCAUACCAGACACUGCUAAGCAUGUAAGCAUGAAUCUUUA
rnacentral:lncRNA from 10 species